rnacentral:rRNA from 1 species
GAGUUUGAUCGUGGCUCAGAAUGAACGCUGGCGGCAUGCCUAACACAUGCAAGUCGUACGGGGCUCUUCGGAGCUCAGUGGCGAACGGGUGCGUAACACGUGAGUGACCUGCCCUGGCACGGGGGAUAACCCGGGGAAACCCGGGCUAAUACCGCAUGCGCUCUUCUGGCUGAUGGCUGGGAGAGGAAAGCUGCUGAGAGGCAGCGUGCGAGGAGGGGCUCGCGGCGUAUCAGGUAGUUGGUGGGGUAACGGCCCACCAAGCCGAUGACGCGUAGGGGGUCUGAGAGGAUGGCCCCCCACAUUGGGACUGAGAUACGGCCCAGACUCCUACGGGAGGCAGCAGUGGGGAAUCUUGCGCAAUGGCCGAAAGGCUGACGCAGCGACGCCGCGUGCGGGAGGAAGCUCUUCGGGGUGUAAACCGCUGUCGGGUGGGACGAAGGUCCCGGGGAGGAAAUGCCCUGGGGAUGACGGUACCACCAGAGGAAGGACCGGCUAACUCCGUGCCA